rnacentral:misc_RNA from 1 species
GUGGGUGUCAUUCUAUUUGAGCUGAUUGUUGGUAUUCCGCCAUUUAAUGCAGAGCAUCCACAGACAAUAUUUGAUAAUAUUCUCAACCGUAAGAUACCUUGGCCACGGGUGCCUGAAGAAAUGAGCCCUGAAGCACAGGAUCUAAUUGAUAGAUUAUUAACAGAAGAUCCUCAUCUGAGACUUGGAGCUGGAGGGGCAUCUGAGGUGAAGCAGCAUAUAUUCUUCAAGGAUAUUAACUGGGACACUCUUGCCAGACAGAAGGCUGCAUUUGUUCCCAGUUCAGAGAGUGCACUUGAUACAAGUUACUUCACGAGUCGCUACUCGUGGAAUACUUCCAAUGACAAUGUAUAUCCAGGCAGUGAAUUUGAGGAUUCCAGCGAUGACGACAGUUUAAGUGGCAGCAGUAGUUGCCCAAGCAAUCGCCAAGAUGAAGUGGGAGAUGAAU